AAAGAACUGGGUGGGUGAGAGGGAGCCAGUUUGAAACUCACUUUCCUCCUUUAUUUAUUUUAUUUUUAAAUUUGUGGCAGGGUGUUUGAAGAAAACAAGAAAACCACCCUCAUCCAGGAAACAACAACAACAAAGAGUUUUCUCUCUCUCUCUCUCUCAGUCUCCAGGGUCUCACUCCUGUCGCCUAAGGCUAGAGUGUAGUGCCGCGAUCUCGGCGCACCUGCGGCCUCGACUUCUCAGGCUCAAGCGAUCCUCCCACCUCAGCCUCCUGAAUAGCUGGGACUACAGGCGCAUUCCACCACGCCCGGCUAUUUUUUUUGUAUUUUUAGUAGAGACGGGGCUUCGUCCUGUUGUCGAGGUCCUCAGUCACGGCCUGACCCCUUUUAAGAGAGGGACCUCAAGAGGGGAGCUGAAUUCCUUGAGCCCUCGCCUUUCAAUCAAGUUUUCAAGGCACGCUUUGGCCGGGCCCUCCCGGACUGGCUGUGCUGCUACCUCCAGAGGAAAUCAACGUCUGUACCGAACUCCUAACCUGUGAAGACCUGCUGUCCUCAUAAUUGCGGAGUGGGGCCAAGGAAGGCUACUCUUUCCCCUUUGCAGAUGAGGCAACUGAGGCAACUGAGCCGCAGAAAACUAACUGACCAAGAUCACCCAGCCAGUGGAACAAACAGCUCGAGCCCAGGCUCUCUGGCUCCUAUUCCCUCUGAAUAUUUAAUUUACUAAACUGUUUGAGCAGCCGUAGAUUCCCUUCACAAUCCGGUAAAAUCUAUAAUUACUCCUCCCCUUCCCCAAAAUGUACUUAUUUUCCCAUUCAAUAUCGGAGCUUCUCGGACUUCCUGAAGUUAGUCCCAGGAUAAAGAUCCUCUUUCUCCUCCCCCUUGCCCCGCCCCACGACCUCGCUUCCCAGUAAUUGCUGGGAUCCCGAUUCUCUGGAGGCAUUCCGGGCGGAUUGAUUGAGUGUAAUUCAACUGAGUUAUGAUUACAGCUGCUGGUUCCCCUGUGCCGCAGACGGGUGUGUAGGGAGGGUGGGGCACGUGGAGAUGGGCAAGAUGUCUGGAGAGAGCAGUGGGGCUGUUGUGCACGUUUUUGCUAGAGGUGAGGGUUGAGAGCUAGGGAGGAAACAAUUCCGAGCCCACCCCGCUGGGACCCACGGGCUGAGGUCCUCCAGGAAGCACUGGGGCUCAGCUUUCCCUAUGUCAGUACGGAUGGAGGACACACAGGAGGAAGGCUGGUGGCUCUGCCGGAACAUUCUGAGGGCCUUGUUCUCUGCCUACGCUGGGACCUGCAGUCCCAUCUCCCAUUUGGCCUCAGCCAGCGUGGUUUAUUGUACCCAAAUCCCGCUUGUUUCCUCCUUAUGCAGCAGUUUUAAAAUUUCGAACUAGUUCAAGAGCUGCUCGGCUGCUCGUUUACUUUCAGUUUUGGGAACAGAGGCUUACACCCCUUUCUCCUCCUGUUUCUCCUCCAGUCCCUCUUCCCCUCAAUCUAGUUUCCCAAAGUUAGCAAACCUACUUUCUUGAUUUUGUUUCUUAACAUUUAAAACAACUGGUGAAGGGCUAAUGAUUUCAUCUCCUUACCACCACCCCUAACCUUAAAAGCAAUAAAUAAAAUAAAAGCCCAGCCUGCCAACCGCAUGCACACACGGCCAGCGGUGGUGGGGGUUUGUAGUUUGCAUACACGUCGCGGGGCAGAAGCCUGUUUGCAAAGGCUGAAAUGUAGCUAGCAGGGGAAGACGCUGAAAAAACAGAGUGAUUUGAUAAAAACGUGCUGGGCCCUGUUACAGGAGGGCUGCUGGGAGUAGUCCCAGGUACUCACAUCAGAAGGGGUGCAGGGGAAUAAAAUUUAAAAAAGCAAACCCAUGGCGAGUCUUUCUUGCUGGGAGUGAGGGGCUCUGCAAAAUUUCUGGGACUUCAGAACAGAGGUCGACAAGGUCCAUUGCUCUUCCCGAGACUACUGGGUGAUCCAGGGCUCCUCUCUGAACCUCAGUUUCGUCGUUGGAAAAACGGGGAUAGGAACAUAUUUCUGUUGCUGUCAAGAAUUUAAACGCUCCAGUGCAGGUGAAGGAAAUGUGCUUUGAUGACUGGGUAUAAAAAAUGUGCAAAAAGAACCUGGCGUUACAAGGUGGUGUCAAGGGAGAGGAAGUAAAAGUCUGUAUGACCUCCCUGUCGCUUGUCGGAGCGCGCACCGCUCCCAAGUCACCCUCUGAGUCGCCAGAGCUACCGAAAAGCCGAUGGGAAUAAGCAGGACUGUUUCUCUACUUCCUUCAUUGGGCUUCGCAAGAGGCUCUGGGAAGAAGCACCCGUACAAAUGGGAAUCCCAGUGCCUGGUCACCGGGGAGGAACUUUACAACAUCACUGAAGGUUUGAGAAUAGUGCUUCUGGCUGGUCGCGGUAGUUCCUAAGCUGCCUUUGUUCCCACUUCUCUGAUCCAGGUUAACUUUUAACAUUCUGACAAAC
rnacentral:lncRNA from 1 species